ANNGGGGNNNANUUACCAUGCAGUCGAACGAUGAAGCCCUUCGGGGUGGAUUAGUGGCGAACGGGUGAGUAACACGUGGGCAAUCUGCCCUUCACUCUGGGACAAGCCCUGGAAACGGGGUCUAAUACCGGAUAAUACUUUCUCCCGCAUGGGGGAAGGUUGAAAGCUCCGGCGGUGAAGGAUGAGCCCGCGGCCUAUCAGCUUGUUGGUGGGGUGAUGGCCUACCAAGGCGACGACGGGUAGCCGGCCUGAGAGGGCGACCGGCCACACUGGGACUGAGACACGGCCCAGACUCCUACGGGAGGCAGCAGUGGGGAAUAUUGCACAAUGGGCGAAAGCCUGAUGCAGCGACGCCGCGUGAGGGAUGACGGCCUUCGGGUUGUAAACCUCUUUCAGCAGGGAAGAAGCGAAAGUGACGGUACCUGCAGAAGAAGCGCCGGCUAACUACGUGCCAGCAGCCGCGGUAAUACGUAGGGCGCAAGCGUUGUCCGGAAUUAUUGGGCGUAAAGAGCUCGUAGGCGGCUUGUCACGUCGGAUGUGAAAGCCCGGGGCUUAACCCCGGGUCUGCAUUCGAUACGGGCAGGCUAGAGUGUGGUAGGGGAGAUCGGAAUUCCUGGUGUAGCGGUGAAAUGCGCAGAUAUCAGGAGGAACACCGGUGGCGAAGGCGGAUCUCUGGGCCAUUACUGACGCUGAGGAGCGAAAGCGUGGA
rnacentral:rRNA from 1 species